AUUGAACGCUGGCGGGAGGCCUAACACAUGCAAGUCGAACGAGUGGCGGACGGGUGCGUAAUAUAUCGGAACGUGCCCGAUAGCGGGGGAUAACUACUCGAAACGGUGGCUAAUACCGCAUACUAUUGGAUCUGCCCAGAUUGGAUUAGCUAGUUGGUGGGGUAAAGGCUCACCAAGGCGACGAUCCCUAGCUGGUUUGAGAGGAUGACCAGCCACACUGGAACUGAGACACGGCCCAGACUCCUACGGGAGGCAGCAGUGGGGAAUUUUGGACAAUGGGGGAAACCCUGAUCCAGCCAUCCCGCGUGUAUGAUGAAGGCCUUCGGGUUGUAAAGUACUUUUGGCAGAGAAGCGUUAUCUGCAGAAUAAGCACCGGCUAACUACGUGCCAGCAGCCGCGGUAAUAC
rnacentral:rRNA from 1 species